UACAGAGGCCCCAAGCGUUACUGAGAAUCACUGGGUUUAAAGGGUGCGUAGGUGGCGCGUUAAGUCCGUUGUGAAAUCCCUGGGCUCAACCCAGGAAAUGCUUCGGAUACUGGCGUGCUUGAGGCUAGUAGGGGUCACUGGAACUGACGGUGGAGCGGUGAAAUGCGUAGAUAUCGUCAGGAACGCCAAUGGUGAAGACAGGUGACUGGGCUAGAUCUGACACUGAGGCACGAAAGCGUGGGGAGCAAACAGG
rnacentral:rRNA from 1 species